AAAGAAAAAAAAGGGAUUUUGGUGAAAUGAUUAUAAAAUGAAAGAAGAAGAGAAGAAGAAAAAUGGAUGAAACAAUUAUGGUGAUUUGAUUCAUGAAUCCAACAAAGAUUUUUCAUUGUCCACAUAACUUAAAAUGUGUAGUAGCUUACAGGUUAUGAGUUUUGGAAUAUUUUCUUUAAUUUCAUAAUCCUUUUCUUUAAUUUCAUGCGACCAACUAGUAAAAUACGUAUAGCAAGUGCUUGCAUUAUUA
rnacentral:lncRNA from 1 species